rnacentral:rRNA from 1 species
AGAAGGUCGUGCCCUUCCCAGUGGGUAUACGAGCCUAAACGGACGCGGUAAAUCGUGCUAAGGUAGCUAAAUUAUGGCCUAUUAAUUGUAGGUCCUGUGAAUGGUUUGACGAGUCUUUAUCUGUCUCAAAGUUAUUUUGGUGAACUUGAAUUAAAUGUGCAAAUGCAUUUAUGAGGGAGAAAGACGAGAAGACCCCGUGAAGUUAGAAGUUUUGGCUGGGGCAGCGAAAAGGCAAAGCUAGACCUUUUUUGUCUUUAGACGGGUGCGUUAUGAUCCACAUGUUUUGGAAGAUGUGCUUAACAGAAGAAGUUACUCCGGGGAUAACAGCGUUAUCCAUCCUGACAGCUCUUAUAGAUGGGUGGGUUUGCGACCUCGAUGUUGGCUCUGGGUGUCCCGAGGCUGUAGGCGGUCUCAAAGGUUGGUUUGUUCGCCCAUUAAAACCCC